CUGAGCUCGGCGCCGCCUCCAUCCUGGCUAAGAUGGUGGCGCCCGGGGUCCCGUGCGGUGGCCGUACUGAGUGCCACCGCCCUGGGCGGAUUGGAGCCGCCCCGUUCGAAAGAACCGCCCCCAGCCGCUGCACCACAGCCGCGUAGCAGACGAGCCCAGGCCCCGCCCGGGACGGCAGCCGCGCCAUGGACGUUCCUAGCUCUUCCAGCUCCCGCUUCUCGGUCGGCUCUGCCAAUCCCGGCACUCUGCUCCAAUAUGCGAAAGAGCUCAAAAAGUGGGAUGAGUUUGAAGACAUCUUAGAGGAGAGGAGGCAUGUCAGUGACUUGAAGUUUGCCAUGAAAUGCUACACACCCACCUUGUAUAGGGGGGUCACUCCCUGCAAGCCAAGUGUUAUCAAGUCCAUUGUUUUUAAUUCUGAAGAGAUUCACUACGUCAUUAAACAGCUUUCCAGGGAGUCCCUUAGAUCUGUUGAUACCCUCCGAGAGGAAGCCAGUUCGAUCCUGGAGGAAAUGAGCCACAAACUGCGGGUGGGAGCCAUUCGAUUCUUUGCCUUUGUCCUGAGCAAAAUUUUUAAGCAGAUUUUCUCAAAGGUGUGUGUGAACGAAGACGGCAUUCAAAAGCUACAACGAGCUGUCCAGGAGCACCCUGUAGUCCUGCUGCCCAGUCAUCGGAGCUACAUUGACUUCCUCAUGCUGUCUUUUGUUCUGUACAACUAUGAUCUACCUGUGCCAGUUAUUGCGGCAGGAAUGGACUUCCUAGGAAUGAAAUUGGUUGGUGAGCUACUCAGAAUGUCUGGGGCCUUCUUCAUGCGGCGCACCUUUGGCGGAAAUAAACUGUACUGGGCUGUAUUCUCUGAAUAUGUGAAGACCAUGCUACGGAAUGGUUAUGCUCCUGUUGAAUUUUUCCUCGAAGGGACAAGGAGUCGCUCUGCCAAGACCUUGAUUCCUAAAUUUGGUCUCCUGAAUAUUGUGAUGGAACCAUUUUUUAAAAGAGAAGUGUUUGAUACCUACUUUGUCCCAAUUAGCAUCAGUUAUGAUAAAAUAUUAGAAGAAACUCUUUAUGCCUAUGAGCUGCUAGGAAUUCCUAAGCCAAAGGAAUCCACCACUGGGUUGUUGAAAGCUAGACGGAUUCUCUCUGAGAACUUUGGAAGCAUCCAUGUAUACUUUGGAGACCCUGUGUCACUGCGCUCUCUAGCGUCAGGGCGGCUCUGUCGGAACCCAUAUAACUUGGUGCCAAGAUACAUCCCUCAGAAGCAGUCAGAGGAUGUUCACUCCUUUGUCACUGAAGUCGCCUAUAGGAUCCAGCUUCUGCAGAUUGAAAACCUGGCUCUGAACCCAUGGCUUCUGGUAGUUGCCAUUCUACUUCAAAACCAGUUAUCCAUGGACUUGGACACUCUGGUGGAGAAGACUCUGUGGCUCAAGGGCUUAACUCAGGCAUUUGGAGGAUUCCUGCUUUGGCCUGAUAACCAGCUUCCUGAGGAAGUGGUCCAAUCCAGCAUCUUGCUGCACUCCAACCUGGCCAGCCUUGUCAAUGACAGGGUGGUUCUGAAAGUGGAAUCUGGAUGCUCAGAAAUGGUCAAAGGAAUUGUGCUCCGACACAUCAACCUCCUUAUGUGCUCAGCCUACAGGAACCAGCUGCUCAAUAUUUUUGUCCGUCCUUCCUUAGUAGCUGUAGCCUUGCACAUGACACCUGGGCUUAGAAAAGAGGAUGUCUUCAGUUGCUUUUCCUUUCUACGCAACGUGUUUUCAGAUGAGUUCAUCUUCCUUCCAGGAAACACACUCAGGGACUUCGAGGAAGGCUGUUACUUGCUGUGUAAAACUGAGGCUAUACAGAUGACUGGGAAGGCCAUCAUCAUCACAAAUAAAGGGAAUGCUGUGUUAGAAUUUCUCAUAGGGCUCUUUAAACCUUUUGUAGAAUCAUACCAGAUAGUUUCCAAAUACCUCUUACAUGAAGAAGAAGACUGCUUCACUGAGAAACAGUACUUGGUUGCAGUUAGGAAGUUCACCAGUCAGCUUCUAGAUCAAGGCGCCUCUCAGUGUUUUGAUGCACUGUCUUCUGACCUGCAGAAAAAUGCCUUAGCAGCUUUUGUGAGACUCGGAGUGGUAGAAAGGAAGAAGGUGUAAGUACCAGGUGCUAAUGGGGUCAAGAGAUAAUAACUACGUGUUUAGUGUGAAUGAGCCUGCUACAAGCAAAUUACAAGAAAUGCUCGGAUGCAAGACAUCAAUAGGAAAACCAGCCACUGCAAAACUGUAAUAAUCAUGAAGCAGUUGUAGAAAACACAUUUCCAUAGUGACAGUCACAAAGGACCUACUUUGCCACAAAUGGGCAUCGAGAGGAGGAUGUGUCUUCUGUCUCCCUGAGACCUGAGCCAUGCUUCUGCCAAGAGGAGGAGGAGAUGACCAGUGAGAGUGUCAGUGAGGUUUUCCUGACAUGAUGACUGCUGGCAUUCAUGUCAACCUGUGUGUUCUAAAAUAAAACAGUUUUUUGAAAACAUUCUUGGAAAAUAGA